GGGCAAGCGUUGUUCGGAAUUACUGGGCGUAAAGGGCUCGUAGGUGGCCGACUAAGUCAGACGUGAAAUCCCUCAGCUUAACUGGGGAACUGCGUCUGAUACUGGAUGGCUUGAGUUUGGGAGAGGGAUGCGGAAUUCCAGGUGUAGCGGUGAAAUGCGUAGAUAUCAAGAGGAACACCUGCGGCGAAGGCGGGUUGCUGGGCCGACACUGACGCUGAGGCGCGAAAGCCAGGGGAGCGAACGGG
rnacentral:rRNA from 1 species